rnacentral:miRNA from 12 species
GCUCAAAAAUUUGAGGGGUCAAACUGUACGUUCUAUGUGACAAUAUUCGAAAUUCAUAAGCGUAUAGCUUUUCCCCUUAAAACUUGAUGCA